rnacentral:ncRNA from 1 species
GGUGCCCGGGGGCUACGCCCGGGUGAAAAGGGAAGUCCGGUGAAAAACCGGCGCAACAGCCAUUACUGUGAUCGGUUCCGCGGCGCAAAUGCCAUUGAGCGUAUGCUUGAGAAGGCGCGCCCGCAGGGGAAAAGCCCCAGCCGUCAGCCAGGAGACCUGCCUUGUCCGU